CAGCAGUAGCCACGGUAAUACAGAGGGUGCAAGCGUUAAUCGGAAUUACUGGGCGUAAAGCGCGCGUAGGUGGUUUGUUAAGUUGGAUGUGAAAGCCCCGGGCUCAACCUGGGAACUGCAUCCAAAACUGGCAAGCUAGAGUACGGUAGAGGGUGGUGGAAUUUCCUGUGUAGCGGUGAAAUGCGUAGAUAUAGGAAGGAACACCAGUGGCGAAGGCGACCACCUGGACUGAUACUGACACUGAGGUGCGAAAGCGUGGGGAGCAAACAGGAUUAGAUACCCCCGUAGUCCCUGUCUCUUAUAC
rnacentral:rRNA from 1 species